UUCAUUUUUAUUUUGACACAGGGUCUCACUAACCUUACUAGAAUGCUGAGGCUGGCCUUGAACUUGAGAUCCUCCUGCUUCAGCAUCCCAGAGCUGCUGGGAUUGCUGGCAUUUGCCAUGGCACCAGUUUCUACCCUCCAUUCCCCAUUCUUUUAAGAUAGUUAUUGUCUUAUGCUCAUUUAACUAAUGAGGAAACUGAGGUUCAAAGAAGUUAACUGAUUUUCCCAAGUUCACUCAGUUUGUAGGUAGAAGAGUUAGGAUUUGAAUCUUGGUCUGGUGCCUCAAAAGACAUAACCUUCCCAUUUAUUACCUUGCUAUUAAUACAGGGAAACAUUAGAGAUGCUUAGUUCUAAAAAGUACCCUCAAACAGCCAAUGUUAAGAAACAGACUGGUGUACUUGAAAUAUCAUGACUUAUUGUACUGAAGUCACCUAGCUUGGAAACUUCUUACCCCUAAUUAUUGGAGAGGACUUGAGCUGGUUAAUUAGCUUAUAUGAACUUUGCUCACAAAAAAAUGGUGAUAACACCUGCCUCAAAAAAUCAUUGGGAGGAUUAAAUAAAUGUACACUAGCAUUGUACCUAGCACACAAUACAAAACUGUAAAUGGCAGUGCUUAUAGCCCCUUGAUCUUAUGGUCUGUACUUAACAUUCAUGUAGAACAAGUAUUUAUAAACACCAAAAAAUGCAUCUGUUUUUCUAGAAAAUUAGAAAAAUUUUACAUACAUUAAAAUAUUUAUUCAGAACUUCUGUUUCAUUUUAUCUAGGUUAGGUCUGUGUUGAGACAGU
rnacentral:lncRNA from 1 species